AAUUUGGGCCUUUCUGAGUAGA
rnacentral:miRNA from 1 species